UACGUAGAGGGCAAGCGUUGUCCGGAUUUAUUGGGCGUAAAGAGCGUGUAGGCGGUUUGGUAGGUCCGUUGUGAAAACUCGAGGCUCAACCUCGAGACGCCGAUGGAAACCAUCAGACUAGAGUCCGGAAGAGGAGAGUGGAAUUCCUGGUGUAGCGGUGAAAUGCGCAGAUAUCAGGAAGAACACCCGUGGCUAAGGCGGCUCUCUAGUACGGUACUGACGCUGAGACGCGAAAGCGUGGGGAGCGAACAGG
rnacentral:rRNA from 1 species